rnacentral:rRNA from 1 species
UACGGAGGGGGCGAGCGUUGUUCGGAAUUACUGGGCGUAAAGCGCACGUAGGCGGCUUUGCAAGUCAGAGGUGAAAGCCCGGGGCUCAACCCCGGAAUUGCCUUUGAGACUGCAUCGCUAGAAUUGUGGAGAGGUAAGUGGAAUUCCGAGUGUAGAGGUGAAAUUCGUAGAUAUUCGGAAGAACACCAGUGGCGAAGGCGACUUACUGGACACAUAUUGACGCUGAGGUGCGAAAGCGUGGGGAGCAAACAGG